rnacentral:rRNA from 1 species
GCCUGCGAAGGUGUGCUGUGAGGCAUGCUGGAGGUAUCAGAAGUGCGAAUGCUGACAUAAGUAACGAUAAAGCGGGUGAAAAGCCCGCUCGCCGGAAGACCAAGGGUUCCUGUCCAACGUUAAUCGGGGCAGGGUGAGUCGACCCCUAAGGCGAGGCCGAAAGGCGUAGUCGAUGGGAAACAGGUUAAUAUUCCUGUACUUGGUGUUACUGCGAAGGGGGGACGGAGAAGGCUAUGUUGGCCGGGCGACGGUUGUCCCGGUUUAAGCGUGUAGGCUGGUUUUCCAGGCAAAUCCGGAAAAUCAAGGCUGAGGCGUGAUGACGAGGCACUACGGUGCUGAAGCAACAAAUGCCCUGCUUCCAGGAAAAGCCUCUAAGCAUCAGGUAACAUCAAAUCGUACCCCAAACCGACACAGGUGGUCAGGUAGAGAAUACCAAGGCGCUUGAGAGAACUCGGGUGAAGGAACUAGGCAAAAUGGUGCCGUAACUUCGGGAGAAGGCACGCUGAUAUGUAGGUGAAGUCCCUCGCGGAUGGAGCUGAAAUCAGUCGAAGAUACCAGCUGGCUGCAACUGUUUAUUAAAAACACAGCACUGUGCAAACACGAAAGUGGACGUAUACGGUGUGACGCCUGCCCGGUGCCGGAAGGUUAAUUGAUGGGGUCAGCGCAAGCGAAGCUCUUGAUCGAAGCCCCGGUAAACGGCGGCCGUAACUAUAACGGUCCUAAGGUAGCGAAAUUCCUUGUCGGGUAAGUUCCGACCUGCACGAAUGGCGUAAUGAUGGCCAGGCUGUCUCCACCCGAGACUCAGUGAAAUUGAACUCGCUGUGAAGAUGCAGUGUACCCGCGGCAAGACGGAAAGACCCCGUGAACCUUUACUAUAGCUUGACACUGAACAUUGAGCCUUGAUGUGUAGGAUAGGUGGGAGGCUUUGAAGUGUGGACGCCAGUCUGCAUGGAGCCGACCUUGAAAUACCACCCUUUAAUGUUUGAUGUUCUAACGUUGACCCGUGAUCCGGGUUGCGGACAGUGUCUGGUGGGUAGUUUGACUGGGGCGGUCUCCUCCUAAAGAGUAACGGAGGAGCACGAAGGUUGGCUAAUCCUGGUCGGACAUCAGGAGGUUAGUGCAAUGGCAUAAGCCAGCUUGACUGCGAGCGUGACGGCGCGAGCAGGUGCGAAAGCAGGUCAUAGUGAUCCGGUGGUUCUGAAUG